CUGGCGUCAGGACGAACGCUGGCGGCGUGCCUAAUACAUGCAAGUCGAACGGUCUUUCUAUGGAAGUUGCUCCACUGAGAAGAUAGUGGCGAACGGGUGAGUAACACGUGGGUAACCUGCCCAUAAGAGGGGGAGUAACAUCCGGAAACGGGUGCUAAUACCGCAUAGUUUUCUUGGUCGCAUGAUCGGGAAAGGAAAGACGGCCUUUGUGCUGUCGCUUAUGGAUGGACCCGCGGCGUAUUAGUUAGUUGGUGAGGUAACGGCUCACCAAGACGAUGAUACGUAGCCGACCUGAGAGGGUGAUCGGCCACAUUGGGACUGAGACACGGCCCAAACUCCUACGGGAGGCAGCAGUAGGGAAUCUUCCGCAAUGGACGAAAGUCUGACGGAGCAACGCCGCGUGAGUGAAGAAAAGGUUUUCGGAUCGUAAAACUCUGUUGUCAGAGAAGAACAAGUUGGAGAGUAACUGCUCCAGCCUUGACGGUAUCUGACCAGAAAGCCACGGCUAACUACGUGCCAGCAGCGGC
rnacentral:rRNA from 1 species